AGCGAACGUUGGCGGCGCGCCUAACACAUGCAAGUCGAACGCGAAAAGCCUUCGGGCUGAGUAGAGUGGCGCACGGGUGAGUAACACGUGAGUAAUCUACCCUGAGGAUCGGGAUAACACUCCGAAAGGAGUGCUAUUACCGAAUAAGACCACAGCCCCUGCGGGGCGAGUGAGAAAACGAAUGGGGAGUACCGAAACGGAACC
rnacentral:rRNA from 1 species